AUGGUGAUAAUUUCCAUGACAACACAGAAAGAUUCCAGAAACAGAGAUUUCUGACUAAAUAUAUGAAGGUUGUUGAAAAGCACAACUGUAAGAAUUCUGCCUACUCACUGGGAAUAACAGACAGAAGAGUUAAGCCUCUGUGUGUGUGACAAUGCUGGUACCACCUGUAAAGUCCUGGGAUUCCCGUAUCCUGGUUAUCCCAGACGUGCACAGGGAUAGGAACUGGGCAUCCUCCCUACCUGAGUGCUUCAGGAACUGAUCCAAAGAGAAACCUCUGGAUGGACAACUGUUAAAGAGAACGUGACUCGGGGAAAAAGGAAGCCUUCAAAAGAAUGAGAAGUGUGAGAAACUGCCUACAAAAUGCUGCUCCAAGGACCUAUUUUGCCCAAAUAAUCGCUUUCAAAAACAGUCAACAUGCUUUUAAAGAAAAAUAACCUGGAAAAAUAGUGAUAUAAAAGCUCCCUUUGAAGAGACCCUGUAAGGCUGAAGCUUGCAUUUGAACAAAUCUCUCCCUAAGUUUCUAAGAACACUUUCUAAACUGCCGUUUAAAACCUUUCAGUUACUACUUUUUGCUAUUUAUGCUCUUCAUUGACUUUUUGCCUUUAUUUUCCACUCCUGUGACCAAACAAAUCUCGUACCUUUUGCUUGCUCAGUACAGCUCACGUUGUUCUCCUCAUGCCCUGCUGCAGUUCAUUGCCUGUGUUUGGGAACACCACCAUCCCCAAGAGAAGCAGGAUUUAAUUACUUUUAUUAAUGAAAUCCACUUUUGAAGACUAAACCAUUUGACUAUGUCCCUUUCAAAAUGGAAAUAACUGGGGACAAAACCUAUUUUUAAAAAUCGCAGUUUGCAAAUUCUUGUCUCAAAGAGCAAAUUCUGUGAGUUCCUCUGCAGACCCAGUAAGUUCUGCAGGUUUCUUUGCAGAACCAGCUCAGACUUUAUAGGAAAAUGUAAAGACCAAGUGGAAGAGCCUCUCACACAACCUAAAUUGUUACAGCUCGUCGCCUUUCUGGGGAAAACAAUUGCUGUGGCUCCCUCAGAGCGCGGUGGCAGAUUUCCCUUUGGAGGUCAGGGCCUGUUUCAAGCGUCUCUUCAGGUCCUGCAUGUUGGGGGACUUGGGCCGGAUGAGGUGGAGGCCGCGGCGCUUCUCUCCGUUGCAGCUGCCGAUGAUCCUGCUGAGCUCCUGGCACAGCUGCUGGAAGGCCUCGUGCACGCCCUCGCAGUUCUCCCGGGCCGACACCUCGUGGUAAGUGCCCCCCAGCUCCCCGGCCAGCUGCAGCCCCUCCUUGGAGGACACCUGCCUGGCCCGCAGCAGGUCGCCCUUGUUGGCCACGAGCAGCAGGGGGAUGUUGGCGUUGGGGUGGA